UUGGGAGAAAAUUAGAAAAUCUUAGUUUACCUGUCUGUAAUGUAGUGUUUUGCUGCCAUGGAUGGCAGCAAAAGUCUUAAUGCCACAAGGAUGUGGCGUUUAAGACGUACACGUUAUUAGGAGAAAUCCUACAUCAGAUAAACUUAGAUUUUCUUAUUUUCGUAC
rnacentral:ncRNA from 1 species